rnacentral:rRNA from 1 species
UACGUAGGGUGCAAGCGUUGUCCGGAUUUAUUGGGCGUAGAGAGCGUGUAGGCGGCCCGGUAAGUCCGCUGUGAAAGUCGGGGGCUCAACCCUCGAAUGCCGGUGGAUACUGUCGGGCUAGAGUGCGGAAGAGGCGAGUGGAAUUCCUGGUGUAGCGGUGAAAUGCGCAGAUAUCAGGAGGAACACCGAUUGCGAAGGCAGCUCGCUGGGACGGUACUGACGCUGAGACGCGAAAGCGUGGGGAGCGAACAGG